GCACGUACGACACCGCUUUGACAGGAGCGGGGGAACCACCUCUGGAGCCGCCCCUGCGGCUCUUCGGGGCGACGGACCGGCCAACCCGGUCCAGGGGCACUCCAGCCCGAAGCCCGACAGCUCACCCCGCAGGCACUGGAGGAUCUACAU
rnacentral:sRNA from 2 species